rnacentral:rRNA from 1 species
GACGAACGCUGGCGGCGUGCUUAACACAUGCAAGUCGAACGAUGAAGCUGGAGCUUGCUCUGGCGGAUUAGUGGCGAACGGGUGAGUAACACGUGAGAAAUCUGCCCUUGACUCUGGGAUAACUGCGGGAAACUGUAGCUAAUACCGGAUACUUUCCCUGGUGGGCAUCCACUGGGAAGAAAGAAUUUCGGUCAAGGAUGAACUCGCGGCCUAUCAGCUUGUUGGUGAGGUAAUGGCUCACCAAGGCGACGACGGGUAGCCGGCCUGAGCGGGUGACCGGCCACACUGGGACUGAGGCACGGCGCAGACUCCGACGGGGGGCAGCAGUGGGGAAUAUUGCACAAUGGGCGCAAGCCUGAUGCAGCAACGCCGCGUGAGGGAUGAAGGCCUUCGGGUUGUAAACCUCUUUUAGCAGGGAAGAAGCGAAAGUGACGGUACCUGCAGAAAAAGCACCGGCUAACUACGUGCCAGCCGCCGCGGUAA